CUGUCACUUUAAGAAACACUGAAGCCUGGUAACAGGAAGUUGUCACAUAGGAUGUAGAAUGAGGUAAUCAGGAAGUAAAAUGCACAUGCUACAGAAUUAAAUUUUGUUGUCAAGUUUAUCCAGCAACAUCUGCAAACUUCUUAUGCCUUUGGUAGCAUCGUUGUUUCACCUUCCUUACGACUUCAAUAAACCUGUGGACAAGGAGUCAUCUGUCUUCAGAGUCUUGAUGUUAAGGAGGCGUUUAACUGACUGUCAAGUCAUAUCGAGUACAUGUGAUGAGGACAGCACACAA